GUGCAGCAGUCGCGAAACCUCCGCAAUGCGCGAAAGCGCGACGGGUUACCCGAGUGCCGUCCGCUGAGGACGGCUUUGCCCAGUGUAGCCAGCUGGGCGAAUAAGGAGAGGGCAAGUCUGGUGCCAGCCGCCGCGGUAAUACCAGCUCUCCGAGUGGUGGGACGCUUAUUGGGCCUAAAGCAUCCGUAGCCGGUCUGGCAAGUCCCUUGUUAAAUCCAACGAUUCAAUCGUUGGACUGCAAGGGGAUACUGCCAGACUAGGGGGCGGGAGAGGCCGACGGUAUUCCCGGGGUAGGGGUGAAAUCCUAUAAUCCCGGGAGGACCACCAGUGGCGAAGGCUGUCGGCUAGAACGCGCCCGACGGUGAGGGAUGAAAGCUGGGGGAGCGGAACCGGAUUA
rnacentral:rRNA from 1 species